AGCACUAGUAUCAUACUUACCCGAGAGGUUAAUCUUUUAGGCAUUGUCAUCCCCAACAUCUCAAAAGGACCAUCGCAUCUAGGCUAUAAUUUUGAUUUUCUUUGUGUAGGAAACCUUUCCUUUUUCAAGUGCAACCAAACUAAGUCUCCUAGUUGGAAGACAACACGCCUUCUACCCUUGUUGGCUUGGGCGGCAUUCUUUUCAUUCACCUUUUCAAUUCUCCGUUUUGCUUGCUCAUGAAUCUUCUUGACUAAUUCAACUUUCUUUUUUUCUAUCUAGACUAGCAAGCUCAUUAACAAGCAAAGGCAAUAAGUUCAAAGGAGUCAGAGUUAAAUCCAUACACAAUUUCAAAGGGGAAAAAUUGGUGGAAGAAUUCACAACUUUAUUAUGUAUAAAUUCAAUGAAUGGUAUGCAACCCAUCUAAGAUUUCAAGUUUUGUUUAACCA
rnacentral:misc_RNA from 1 species